UUUUCCGCCCGGGCUCUUCCUUUGUUGUCAAGUCCUUUUGAUAAAUGGUGGGGCUGGGAGCUUUGGGAGCCGGGAGCCAGUGUGUGCCCGCGAGGGGGGCGGGGGCCGAGCCUGGAAACCUGGUUUCCACCGGGGUGCGCACCCAGGGCUGAGCCGGUACGCGUGGGGGUCGGGUCUGGAACCUGCCCUCGGCGUGCUCACUCUCUCCCCUCGGCCCAUCUCACUUCCCUCCCCCACCUCACUCCCCUACCCCGCUUCUCACUCUCUCACUCCGCACGGGUACCGAGAACUUUCUGGGAAUCGAUGGGAUUUCUCUGGCUGUCGUUUGUGCUGCAUUUAUCCGAAUACAUCCAGCUCGCAGGCAUCCUGCAGGAAAUGGCUCCGGCUGUGUGUACGCCGACACCUCGGCCCUGCGCGGGACUCGAGGUGGCUCCUAGUGCCCGGGCUGCUGCGAGUCCGGCCUCCAAGGGAGGCUGGACAAGCAGCGCCCCCAGGUUGAGCGGCCUCUCACUGCUUGGCAGUGCCUAGCAGCCCCCACCUCUGCUGGUACUUCGGAAACCCACCCCGCCAGGUUCGCCCGCGGUGAAAACUGAAAGCAAAUUCCCCUACAGGGGUAGCCCAAACUUAGACUAAGGCUCUCUCCUGCGCCUGUAUCUCGGAGAACCCCCGGGCUCUGCAAGUUAGCAACAGAGAUUCUUUAGCGGCUAAGGAAGGGACCCGCAGGGUGGGGUGGGGGGCAAAGAGGACACUGGGUGACCGAGCCUGGCCGGGGGCGAAACGCAAGAGAACGUGCCACCUUCCUUAUUUCAAUGCAAUUUCUCCGCCCCAGAUGGUAAAAAUAGUUUCCAAGCUGCCGCGGAUGCCCAGGAUAUGUUUGCAAAGACCAAACUGGGGAGGAGGCAGCUUUGUAAAAGUUGCAGGAAGAUUUGUCCAGAAGCGUCCGCCCGGCAGGGCUCAAUAAAGCUUGGGACCACCUCCACGUUCCUUGAAGCGGAGGCCAAGAAUUAGCCUGGGUAACCCCCUGCCCAGUUCUCUGUCCUCACUUCUAGCCAGCGCUUAAAUAACUUCCCGCCGCCUGCCCUGCAAACUUCCCGGCGCAGCGCGGGCAAGGCCAGGACGCAGCUAGGACUAGCAAAACCCCGCCGCGGCGCGCUCGGCCCCAGCCCUGAGAGGCUGCCCAGGGUGGGAGAACCAGUGUGGUUUCCGAUCCCACUCGGCUGCCGAGACCCUUAAGGCUGAUCCCCCCAACCCCUGGGAACCGGUGCUUCCCUCUGGUAGCCGCGAUCUUGCGGGCCGGCGAGGGCGCAAAGUGCGCGUGCUAGCCCGCGCGGGGGCGGCCGCGCGUCUCUCCGCGGGGCCUGUCGCCGGGCUGGCCACGGCGGGUGAGUGAUGAGGGCAGAGAAGGGCGCCCAUAAAUCGCGGGUGUCAGGGCGAAAAACUCUCUUUAUUGUCUGUGUGAUGGAUGGGCCCGGGGACGAGACACCAAAUACUUCGUAUCGCCUUUAAAUGGGAACACAUUUUCCGCGGCCAUAAUUCAUGUUUUUUAAAUAGAAAGUUUGAAAUGUUGCCUAUAUUUCACCGGCACUGACAUAUUUAUGAAUCGCUCCCUGCAUGCAAAUAUCAUUAUUUAAAGCGCCAGGGAGAGCGCGGGGGAGGGGAGAAGGCGCGGUUCCCGGGGCGUGGGGGUGGUGAACCGGGGAAAUGUCGGUGGAGGGGGGCCAUCUCCCUAAAGGGCAGAGGGUGAGGUGCGGGGAAUAGCCGUAUCCGGAAACCGAGCGUGUCCUAAGGCUUCUCUCCAGCCGCCGGACCCCGAACGGCCGCCCCAGGAUGUUUUUCGCGGCUGGGACCGAAGAGAGGCCCCCGUCCCCUGCUGGGAGACCAGAGGGCAUUUUUCGUCCCUCUCUGAGGCUGUUAUCCCAGCUGAAACCACCUUUUCUAAGAAGAAAGUUUUUUUUUUUUAAAAAAGGAAUUUAACAAACACAAAUAAUAAUAACCCAACAUGUUUCGUGUUCUUUGCCA